rnacentral:rRNA from 1 species
CACGUAGGGCGCGAGCGUUGUCCGGAAUUAUUGGGCGUAAAGAGCUCGUAGGCGGCCUGUUGCGUCCGCUGUGAAAGCCCGGGGCUUAACCCCGGGUCGCAGUGGAUACGGGCAGGCUAGGGGUGAGGUAGGGGAGAAUGGAAUUCCCGGUGUAGCGGUGAAAUGCGCAGAUAUCGGGAGGAACACCGGUGGCGAAGGCGGUUCUCUGGGCCUUACCUGACGCUGAGGAGCGAAAGCGUGGGGAGCGAACAGG